GAUGAACGCUGGCGGCGUGCCUAAUACAUGCAAGUCGAGCGGCAGCACGGUCUUCGGACUGGUGGCGAGCGGCGGACGGCUGAGUAACGCGUAGGAAUAUACCCAAAGUGAGGGAUAACUGCCCGAAAGGGUGGCUAAUACCGCAUGUGGUCUUCGGACUAAAGCCUUCGGGCGCUUUGGGAAUAGCCUGCGUAAGAUUAGCUAGUUGGUGAGGUAAUGGCCCACCAAGGCGACGAUCUUUAGCUGGUCUGAGAGGAUGACCAGCCAGACUGGAACUGAGACACGGUCCAGACUCCUACGGGAGGCAGCAGUAGGGAAUUUUCCACAAUGGGCGAAAGCCUGAUGGAGCAACGCCGCGUGCAGGAUGAAGGCCCUCGGGUCGUAAACUGCUUUUAUGUGCGAAGAAUAUGACGGUAACACAUGAAUAAGGGUCGGCUAACUACGUGCCAGCAGCCGCGGUAAU
rnacentral:rRNA from 1 species